CACUCCUACGGGAGGCAGCAGUGGGGAAUCUUGCGCAAUGGGCGAAAGCCUGACGCAGCCAUGCCGCGUGAAUGAUGAAGGUCUUAGGAUUGUAAAAUUCUUUCACCGGGGACGAUAAUGACGGUACCCGGAGAAGAAGCCCCGGCUAACUUCGUGCCAGCAGCCGCGGUAAUACGAAGGGGGCUAGCGUUGCUCGGAAUUACUGGGCGUAAAGGGAGCGUAGGCGGACAUUUAAGUCAGGGGUGAAAUCCCGGGGCUCAACCUCGGAAUUGCCUUUGAUACUGGGUGUCUUGAGUAUGAGGGAGGUGUGUGGAACUCCGAGUGUAGAGGUGAAAUUCGUAGAUAUUCGGAAGAACACCAGUGGCGAAGGCGACACACUGGCUCAUUACUGACGCUGAGGCUCGAAAGCGUGGGGAGCAAACAGGAUUAGAUACCCCUGUAGUCCC
rnacentral:rRNA from 1 species